UACGUAGGGCGCAAGCGUUAUCCUGAAUUAUUGGGCGUAAAGAGCUCGUAGGCGGUUUGUCGCGUCUGCCGUGAAAGUCCGGGGCUCAACUCCGGAUCUGCGGUGGGUACGGGCAGACUAGAGUGAUGUAGGGGAGACUGGAAUUCCUGGUGUAGCGGUGAAAUGCGCAGAUAUCAGGAGGAACACCGAUGGCGAAGGCAGGUCUCUGGGCAUUAACUGACGCUGAGGAGCGAAAGCAUGGGGAGCGAACAGG
rnacentral:rRNA from 1 species